ACAAGACUUCGUUGCUCAUUCGUUUAUUAUAUAGUAUUUAAAGAUUUUUAAUGCUAGAACUAUUGUUACAAGGCGUUUUUCGUUUAUUUGAAUAGAAAUGGCAAAUAUUGGUGACUUAGAAGUGUUCAGACAGAAGUGGAGAGAAGAGCUAAACAAGAAACAAAAUGUUGAAAGAGAAGAAGGGGAUGAUAGUGGUGGAAGCAACAUCCAAACAACCUCAAAAAACCAAAACGUGACAGUGUCACCAAACAGUGUCAACAUAAAAUUCAAUGAAAAUAUCAUUUCCUCAAGCUCUAAGCCAGACAACUCCAACCACAAGCCAGAGGUUGCUUAUUACCCAUUUGACAUUGUGUGCAAUCUUUUGAAAUUUGACAAAAAGAAUCUGCAGGAUCAGGAAGACUUAGAUAUAAUUCCUGUUGUAAAAGGCAAACUAAAAAGACACAGAGAGCAGCAGCCUAAGAAUAAUACUGUCAAGAAAGUGAAACUCAAAGACAUCUUCUCUGACAGAGUGAAUCAGAGUGAUGGAUUUGCCAGAGAAAGGAUUCUAGACAAAUUUAUUUCAGAUUUGGAUGAAAUCAACGAAAUUCCAUUCUUUGACAUCUCAGUCCCCAGAGAAGUUGCUGUGAAGAUAUUCCAGCAUCUGAGUAUGCUAGACCUAUGCAGAUGUGCUCAGGUCAGUAAAAGUUGGAAAAGCCUGGCAGAGGAUGAACUUCUCUGGUGCAAGAUUUGCCAUGAACUAGGAUGUGAGGAAGAUACUCUUACUGUUGAAAGGAUUGACUGGAAAGAGAUAGUCCGACAAAGCGUCAGUCACAAAAAGCUUGUACUGUCUAACUGGAAGGAGAGAAAAGCAGAAGUAAGACAACUGCAGCAUAUGCCUGGCGGGAUUUUAUGCUCUGUGCAUUCUUUCUGCAACUUUGUUGCUGCAGGGUAAAAAUAACCCCAUUUUGGGGGAAUAUUUAAGUGAAGGGAAACAAAUUGAAAACUCAGCAACACAACAUGAACUUCUUACAUGGUCAUUUGGUAUUCCCGACUGCCUUUUACAAAAGAAAUUUCUAUGGCAAAGUCUUUCAUUUUUUCAACAACAUGGAAUAAUCCUCAAUGUGUAAAAUUUAUACAAAUUUAAUCAUUUACUUUUAACUAUUUUAAUAAAAUAGGUAUGUUUUAUUGGUAAAAAGUUUAAACAUUUAGUAGCUUAUAAAUAAUGAAUUAUAAAUAUAUAAUAGGAGUUUUAAAUUUUUUUUUGGUAAGUUUUAAGUCCUUUUGUAGAAAGCAGCCCUGCACUUUUUAAAUUCUGAUGUUGAAGUAUUGAAAAACUACUUAACUAGCUUAUAGAAAUUCAUAAUUGUUAUAGGUAUACCAAAGGUGAUGUUAAAGUUUGGGACAUAGAGAAUGAAGAAGAGUUUGUGCUUCAGCCUUCAAAUACUUCACUCAUCAUCAAUGAAGAAGCAGAAGAAGGCACUAUCACUAAUUAUGUUACUAUGGUUUCAACAUCUAUGAAACAAGUUGCUGCUGCAUUUGAACAAGGAAAUUUAGACAUUUGGCAGUUACAGGGGAGUCAGACACUUCCAUGUUACACGUUUGUUGAUGGUCAUUCAAACAAGAUCUCUCACCUCCAAUUAUCAGAUAUAUCGGACUCUGUGAUUUCAGCAGCUGGGCCAUUUCUUCAUGUACACCAGCAAAAAUCUGGUUCAUUCCAAACGCAACAAGUAGAUGUCCAACAGUGGAUCCAGCAUAUAGAGUUGUUUGAGCCAGUGAUCUCCUCUCCAAAAGUGGCUGUAUCUACCUGGUUUAAAGUCUGUCUGUACAGCACAGAGAACUUAAAUCAACAGUGUACAGAGAUUCACAAUAUUCUAGACAUGCACAUCUCUGCCAUUGAUGUGUCAGAAGAAAGCAAAACAUUGGCUGUUGCUCUCCAACACAAGGUCAAAUUAUAUGAUAUACAGUCAAACAAGGAGCUACAAGAUUUAUAUGGACACACAAGAGAAAUUUCCUGCAUGAAUUUAAGAUCUAGUCCCAUCAAUAACUUUGUGACUGGCAGUGUAGAUAGAAGGGUGCGAGUUUAUGACACCAGGACCAGUAACCCAGUGGCCUCCUUCACCGGCCACAUGUACCAGAUCACCACAGUACAGAUGGAUGACUGGAAGGUCAUCUCUGGAGGCUACGAUGGAUUCGUUUUUGUGUGGGACCUGCGCAUGACUCGAAAACUAUGGGAAAUUCACAACAGACAUCCAGUUAGACACUGCAGAUUUUCAGAAGAAAAACUUGUUUUUGGAAAUGUUCCUUGUACUAAAUUUCCAGUUCUUGAUGAGUUUGAAAACAGCACACACAGGAGGUUUCGAGGAGAAAUACAGGUCUAUGAUUUCUCCAAGGACCAGCUGACUCAAGGAGUACCAGAUAUCUGCCUGUCCACUUUUGAUGAACCCAGUGCUUCCAACUAUAACAUGGCCCUAGUGAAUCCAUACGACAAAAUCUGAACAUAAUUUCGCUGUAUACAUCCAAGUCAGAAACAGUUAUAAACACUGUUUCUUUGUUCACAUAAAUAAUUCUCAGGAUUUAUAGAAAAUCUUUUAAAGUUUUUAUUAAUACCAGUGUCUUUCAUAUUUUUUUUCAUUCAAACUGUGAUAUACAAAAGAAAAAUAAAAUGUAAUUUAACAGU
rnacentral:misc_RNA from 1 species